GGCUUGGUGGAUCAUUCAGGAGCUCAAGGUAAAACCAGAGAACUCUGCAGAGAUAGUUUGCUAGCAAUUACAUGGAGGAUUUCCUUAACAUAGGAGGGUUUUGUAUGACUGGAUGUGUUUUUAAAAGAUACACAGUAAUUCAAACAGAAGUUAUGGGCUUGAUGCAGAAAUUACUGGACCGAGCCCCUGUUUCUCUUGUGAACCAAAGUGGUCUUCCUAAUUUGAGUGCUGGCUGACUGUGUCCACUCCUAAUUAAAGGCAUGUGCUGGUUCAAGGGGAUUAGAAAACAGAUCUCAUGACCAACAGUGGGUUACUCAGAUCCAGAUAACUCUUGCAUCCAAGAGUUUUAAAAGAGCUGGCUGGGGAACUUGCCGAACUGUUCCUGUUAAUUUUCAAAAAGUCUUGGAAAACUGGGGAAGUUCCAGAAGAUUGGAAGAAAUCUAAUAUUGUGCCAAUAUUUAAAAAUUGUGAACAGGAUGACUCGGAUCCAUCAUCCAUCUUUAUCCGUCACCCAGAAGCCACAGCCUUGGUACUUGAAUGACAUAACUGCAAGCAAAUAUCAUUGCAAGCUUCAUUCUUGAUCUGUGUGCCAUCUACAGGACAGAUUUGGUAGUUCUUUGAGUAAACAUUGACAGUGGGAUCUGAGAAGUCAUGUGAAUUCAUGGGCAGUACCUACUUUGGUUAUGAUUUUUGUAAUUCGCUCACCCCUGCUGUAAACCUUUCCAGAGAAGUUUGCAGACAACUAAUGUUUGAGUCUUGGUGGCUUGUAGGUCAACUCUUGGAACCAUUUGUCAAUAAUGAAGCACUGCUUCUUUGAAAUCAGCAUGCACAUACUUGAAACCAGCCAACUGAAAAUCCGGAGUGGAUAAUGCUUCCCCAUGUUAUCAUCUACAAUGUACCUGGUCUUAACCCCAAAGUGAAGUUGAGAAAAAAGCAUCAUCUCAGAUUUUUAAAAACUAGACUGGUCAAAGCUUAGAAAUCAUUCAGUAAAGCACCAACCUGCACUGGUAGGGAGAAUGGUCGAAUGCCAUAAGAGGGCUUUUCCUCCUCUCCUCCCCACCUUACUUAUAUGAUGCCCUUUGUUUACUUUUUCCACACCGGUCAAUUUCGCUUUGUAGUCCAUAUCACUCUCUAGUUCUCAUGUGCUACAUAAAGAUGUCGUUUGGGUUACCCAAACUACUAAAGAAUACUUACAUUGAUGUUUUUGGAUUUUAAAUUAUUAUUUUUAUUUGAAUGUGUAACCCCUUUUAUUUUUCUAAAAAACUAAAACCUUGUGCCUGAUCUACAGUACUUGUGCCAGUAUUGCCUCUUUUUAUUACUGUAUUGAAUUAGCUAAUUAUACAGCUGUCAUUGUAAUAUGCUUGAAGUAUAACCCAGUGACCUGUUACUUGAACUAUCACACUAUCUUGUACCUUGAUGCAAAGAAUGAGCUAUAAAAGAAUAACAUUACUGUACUGUAUUAGGUGACCGUGGUGCAAUACCUAUGAGAUGCAAUGAACAAGAUAAACGUGACUGGGUUCAUUAAUAUGUAUGAAUUAAAUAUUUGUUAACAUUAAGUCUCACUAUGAUCAUGCUUCAAACUAAUUGUAUAGUUAUCAGUUCUUACCAGUAUAGAUAAUACCAAGUCAGGCUGUUGUUUUUCAGCCCAUCAAAGACAGAACAAUGGGAAAUAGAAAAGGAAAAUUUAAAACUGGGUAAGUUUUGUCACUUGGAAACAAAGCUGUGUCUACUUAUAUAGACGUAGAUAUUUAAUACUGUGGAGAAGGAAUAGUUAUAUAAAUUGAUAGUAUAUGCAAUAAAAUAAUAUCUUGAUUUUUUUCUUAUUAUCUUUGUCACAAAAUAUGGUGAGAUGAGAUUCACCAUUUGUAUAAAAUGAUGAGGUUAGUGCCUUUCUGCAGUUCAGAUCAGCUGAGGAUCUGGCCUGUGGUUUCUUAAUGUCAUGUACUGCAACAAAUGAACCUAUCAAAUAGUGGUAAUUACUCUUUGUAGAAUUUUAAUAAAUAAAUAAAUAAAUGGCUUUUUUUUUUCAUUUUGGUAGAAAAAUCUGAUGUGAAUCUUUAAAAACAAUUUCUGACUUUCAUUAUGGAUAGUAAAUAUCAUAAUUGGAGCUAGCCAAAAUGUUUCCAUCAAAGUUAUUGUUAAUGUUAAACUGGGUUUUUUUGAUGUCAUGCAAAUUUCUGCUGAAAGUGUCUGCUUUCCUCAAACUUCUGAUGAUUUUUUUUUCUUUCAUUAGAAACCCAAAAAUGGCUUUAUUCAGCUGGAUAGUCAAAAUUUUCCUGGGGGAGGGAGCCCAUUUUAUGACCACUGUAGGCACAAUUAUGUUAACAGUUUUUCAUAUAAAUAAAGUGUAGUAUCCUAAGAAACUUUAUUUUAUUGAUAUUGACUACCCAAAGUAGUGAGAUAAAGGCUAAAAUUACCAGAUGAGGACAGGGUGGUUUUGGGAACCUGCUAUGAGAUGAAAUAAUUUUACACACUGAGACCUACUAGUUUAAACCAAUCUGAAGUCCAUAUUGACUUGCAUUUGUUCCCAUUUGAAGACAUUUCAGUGUCCUAUCUUAAAUGAGUGAAUAGUUCUAGCCCAAUUUGAUUGACAAGUGUCUACACAAUGUAAGCCACCAUUUCAAGCUGCAUCUAUGACAGAGAAGCCAAGACUUCAAUAAGCAUUAAUAAGGAUCUCCCCUUUCCCACUAAAUCCUCAUUCCAUGUUAGAACUGAGAUAUGCUGGUAGCACAGUUGCCAACUUUCACACGAUACAUAAGCACUCUGAUUUUCACAAUAAGCCAAAAAUCAUGCUAAUCCCAUUUCAAAACAAGGCCAAAACAAACCAAUCCCAAAGAACUCCAACACUCUGACUA